rnacentral:rRNA from 1 species
UACGGGGGGGGCAAGCGUUGUUCGGAAUUACUGGGCGUAAAGGGCUCGUAGGCGGCCAACUAAGUCAGACGUGAAAUCCCUCGGCUUAACCGGGGAACUGCAUCUGAUACUGGAUGGCUUGAGUCCGGGAGAGGGAUGUGGAAUUCCAGGUGUAGCGGUGAAAUGCGUAGAUAUCUGGAGGAACACCGGUGGCGAAGGCGGCAUCCUGGACCGACACUGACGCUGAGGAGCGAAAGCCAGGGGAGCAAACGGG